rnacentral:rRNA from 1 species
AGAGUUUGAUCAUGGCUCAGAACGAACGCUGGCGGCAUGCCUAACACAUGCAAGUCGAACGCUUUUGGGGUUUCGGCCUCAAGGGAGUGGCGCACGGGUGAGUAGCGCGUGGGAACCUGCCCUGUUGUGGGGGAUAACCGAGGGAAACUUCGGCUAAUACCGCAUGCGCCGGUUGUCUUGAGAGAGAUGGCCGGGAAAGAUUUAUCGCAGCAGGAGGGGCCCGCGUCGGAUUAGCUAGUUGGUGGGGUAACGGCCUACCAAGGCGUCGAUCCGUAGCUGGUCUGAGAGGAUGAUCAGCCACACUGGGACUGAGACACGGCCCAGACUCCUACGGGAGGCAGCAGUGGGGAAUAUUGGACAAUGGGCGCAAGCCUGAUCCAGCAAUGCCGCGUGAGUGAUGAAGGCCUUAGGGUUGUAAAGCUCUUUCGCCCGCGACGAUGAUGACGGUAGCGGGAGAAGAAGCCCCGGCUAACUUCGUGCCAGCAGCCGCGGUAAUACGAAGGGGGCGAGCGUUGUUCGGAUUUACUGGGCGUAAAGGGCGCGUAGGCGGCGGACCAAGUCGAGUGUGAAAGCCCCGGGCUCAACCUGGGAGGUGCGCUCGAGACUGGUUGGCUGGAGUUCGGGAGAGGAGCGUGGAAUUCCCAGUGUAGAGGUGAAAUUCGUAGAUAUUGGGAAGAACACCGGUGGCGAAGGCGGCGCUCUGGACCGAGACUGACGCUGAGGCGCGAAGGCGUGGGGAGCAAACAGGAUUAGAUACCCUAGUAGUCC